UCUCACACACCGUUCUUCUCUCUCACGAUUAAAAUCGAUCUUUCUUACUCUAGUUGUUUUUCAUCGAACUCAAUCUUGAUCUCUCUCGCAAAUCGCAUAUCUGAAACCGAACAAGAAAGUCAAUAUAAUCUAAUCGAAAUUUGAACUCGAUCUGAUCUGAGCUCUCUUGCAUUUUGUUAGAUCUUCUCUCGCUCUAGCUGUUUAUUGAACUUGAUCUAUCUCGCAAAUCGCAGAUCCAAAAUCGAACAAGAAAGUUGAUCUGAUUUGAUAGAAAUCUGAACUCGAUCUGAUCUGAUCUCUCUCGCAUUUUGUUAGAUCUGCCGAUUAACAAGAUCGAUGCGGUACUUUAACUGGUUCUAUAAGGACAAGGAAUAAGGAAGCGAAUGGAUUUCUUAAAAGAGAAGUGAGCCCAAAAAAUGGAAGCAGAGUUCUGGUAUAGUUCAACAAUUUAGAAUUUGAAGCUUUGCAUGGCCCCAUUUGUUGUACAAUAUUUAUUUUUUGAUCACUUGUCAAAUAUUCUUAGAUUUAUGGUUCAAAUCCCAUAAACUAUAAAAAGAAAAAUCUAAGAUUUAUGGUUUCUUUCUCUAUUUGAUUUAGUAAAUGUUUUUUCUUCUUGUUGUCUUUUCUGGUUUGUUUUGGUCCAACAUUUUGAACAUGAUACACUCUAGGCUGUGCGCAGAGUGUAGUAACUAGUGAUACAUAUCCUAUUUGGCUGUAGAAUUGUUACAUAGCAAAACUAAACUGGUUGAUUAACUGGGGUGUGACCGCAGGCAACAACAAUUCUGUUGUGUUGUCGUUGAAAGUUGCUCUAGAAAAUGGGAGAUAGAAAGAUGGGGAUACAAAAGAAUUAAUAUAUUGCUCUUGUCAUACAUAAUGUUUCAUUUUUUAGUUGAUGACAUGAUAAAGAGUUGUUUAAUACUUUGUCGAAUUGCAAUGGAUGACCUGGUGGACAAAGUGUUCACUCUCCAAGUGUGAUUGCUAGGUUUGAGUAUUAUUGCUAUGCAAUGCAACUUUUCCUUUGCCUAUUAACCUCUGCUAUGGAUUGUAAGAAACAAAAAACAAAAACAAAUACAAUACUUUGCAAGAGUAGAUAGUGAUAGUUGAUAGUUAUGGUUUAUCAAAAUCUGUGGAUGGAAUGGAGAUGCAUCAGCUAUUCGAUAAAGAAAUAUGUUGUAAUUCUUUUCUCAAAUUGAUUGUUAAGAAUGACUAUAGUUUGUUGAUCAAGUUUGUUAGAAUUAGUGGAAGAUUGAUCUUGGCUCAACAACACUUUAAUCAACUAUUAUGUGUCCUGUAGCCCUUGGAUGAGUUGCUUGGGCUUUAGUGUCCGUGUUUUCUACUAGUACUCUAGCUGUGUUUUCUCCUGGUGCUUCGGCUGUGGUUGUAGCUGUGUUGUGUUUUUAUGAAAUUUUCAAUGACAUUUUGUAAUAACCCGACCCUGUCACCAACUUUACUUCCCUCAUUAUAUGUGUGAUUAUAUGUGUUUAUGUGUUUGAUGCGAAACUCCAUGUUUCAAUGUGUGAAUUACAUGUUUAUCAAUUUGUAUCUGUCAGUUAUGAGAAAAUCUGUUGAAAUUGUGACAUUUGGACUACAAAUUGAAAGCCUUAGAGGCGCGAUAAACUGAAAUUGAUUUUACAGUUAUGAUGAGCAUGAUUUUUCGAACAUAUUAUGAAGUUUUGUAAAAAUUUGAUUCAUAAUGAACUAAUUAGAUUUAUUUAAAUUAAGCUCUUAAUUAAGCCUUAAACUUAGACUUAAUGAGUGAAGUCUUGUUAGACAUACAAUAUAUACAUGAGCCUUAAGCCAGACUCAACCAAACAUAAUAAUAUCUCCUGGAAAGGGUUCUAGAGAAAGAAAGAAGAGAAAAGAGAGAAGAAGAAGAGAGCUCAAUAUAGGAGCUUGGAAUUUGGGGAUUCAAUGGGAAAAUCAAGACAAUAGCUCAAGGUAAGUGUAAAUCAUCUAGACUACCCAUUAAACUUAGACUUAAUGGGUGAAGUCUUGUUAGACAUACAAUAUAUACAUGAGCCUUAAGCCAGACUCAACCAAACAUAAUAAUUUCUCCUGGAAAGGGUUCUAGAGAAAGAAAGAAGAGAAAAGAGAGAAGAAGAAGAGAGCUCAAUAUAGGAGCUUGGAAUUUGGGGAUUCAAUGGAAAAAUCAAGACAAUAGCUCGAGGUAUGUGUAAAUCAUCUAGACUACCCUAAAUCUCUCUCUAAUUUCUUAGCAUCAAGCUUUAAAAUGAAGUUUUUACACUCAUAGAAGUUAGGGUUUUGGAAUAAUGAUCUUAUUUGAAUAAUUAUCAUGAAAUUCAUAGGAAUUCAUGACAUUGUUUGAUUUAAGAGUUGAUUCUUGUAUUUUGAGUUUGUCUUGAGUGAGAUUGAGAGAAAUCACCUUCUAAUCUUUAGUAUUUGCAUGCUUUGAACUCAUAUAUGUAUAUAUGUUUGUGUAUGUUUGUAUAUAUCAUGUAAAC